rnacentral:tRNA from 1 species
UAAGGGGUAGCUUAUUUAAAGCAAAUUGUUUACAUUAAUUAGAAAGUAUUUUUACUUCUCUUAA